UACGUAGGGUGCGAGCGUUGUCCGGAAUUACUGGGCGUAAAGAGUUCGUAGGCGGUUUGUCGCGUCGUUCGUGAAAACUCGGGGCUCAACCCCGAGCCUGCACUCGAUACGGGCUAGCUAGAGUGUUGCAGGGGAGACUGGAAUUCCUGGUGUAGCGGUGAAAUGCGCAGAUAUCAGGAGGAACACCGGUGGCGAAGGCGGAUCUCUGGGCCAUUACUGACGCUGAGGAGCGAAAGCGUGGGGAGCGAACAGG
rnacentral:rRNA from 1 species